rnacentral:rRNA from 1 species
AUUGAACGCUGGCGGCAGGCUUAACACAUGCAAGUCGAGCGGGGUGAUGGUGCUUGCACUAUCACUUAGCGGCGGACGGGUGAGUAAUGCUUAGGAAUCUGCCUAUUAGUGGGGGACAACAUCUCGAAAGGGAUGCUAAUACCGCAUACGUCCUACGGCAGAAAGCAGGGGAUCACUUGUGACCUUGCGCUAAUAGAUGAGCCUAACUCGGAUUAGCUAGUUGGUGGGGUAAAGGCCUACCAAGGCGACGAUCUGUAGCGGGUCUGAGAGGAUGAUCCGCCACACUGGGACUGAGACACGGCCCAGACUCCUACGGGAGGCAGCAGUGGGGAAUAUUGGACAAUGGGGGGAACCCUGAUCCAGCCAUGCCGCGUGUGUGAAGAAGGCCUUAUGGUUGUAAAGCACUUUAAGCGAGGAGGAGGCUCUUUUGGUUAAUACCCAAGAUGAGUGGACGUUACUCGCAGAAUAAGCACCGGCUAACUCUGUGCCAGCCGCCGCCGUAA